rnacentral:rRNA from 1 species
CCUACGGGUGGCAGCAGUGGGGAAUAUUGCACAAUGGGGGCAACCCUGAUGCAGCAACGCCGCGUGAGUGAAGAAGUAUUUCGUUAUGUAAAGCUCUAUCACCAGGGACGAAAAUGACGGUACCCGAGUAAGAAGCCCCGGCUAACUACGUGCCAGCAGCCGCGGGAAUACGUAGGGGGCAAGCGUUAUCCGGAUUUACUGGGUGGAAAGGGAGCGUAGACGGGUGUGCAAGUCUGGAGUGAAAGGCGGGGGCUCAACCCCCGGACUGCUGUGGAAACUGUACGGCUGGAGUGCAGGAGAGGUAAGUGGAAGUCCUAGUGUAGCGGUGAAAUGCGUAGAUAUUAGGAGGAACACCAGUGGCGAAGGCGGCUUACUGGACUGUAACUGACGUUGAGGCUCGAAAGCGUGGGGAGCAAACAGGAUUAGAUACCCCGGUAGUC